CAGACCCAGAGCCCUGUACCUAGACAAUCAGACCCAUAGCCCUGUACCUAGACAAUCAGACCCAGAGCCCCGUACCUAGACAAUCAGACCCAGAGCCCUGUACCUAGACAAUCAGACCCAUAGCCCUGUACCUAGACAAUCAGACCCGGAGCCCUGUACCUAGACAAUCAGACCCAGAGCUCUGUACCAGAGGAUCAUGGUGUGUCCUGAUCCCUGGAACCGUCUGCUCUCCAUCUCCAACCAACCUCCAAGCUCUCUCUGACCGGAGAUAACCAGAGGACACUGUCUGUACCCAAAGUCUUGCUCCCAGUCCUACGGUGGAUUGUUUCAAUAGAUCUUCUAGUGGUCCCUUUUCUUUACUCUCUGAACAUCAUAUCUCACGUCUUAUUUGAUAAAGAAUGUGAUCUUUUGGAUGUUUUCCGACAGUACUGUUUGCUGUCUCAAUACACCUAACAUGAAGACAGAGGGUACUGAGGAACUGAUGAUACAAUACUAUAUUGAAUCAGAACUUUUCCUCAUGAAUGCAUUUACAGACUUACAGUUCAUUUAGAUUUGUGAAAGAUGUGGUUUUAGGGAGACAGAGUGUGACUGUGCCAUAGAGGUGUGUUGGUAUCAGGUGGUGGUGAACAUAUGGAGAGCAGGGUAGAGGUGUCAGGGUAGGGUGAACAUAGCUGUAGAACUGUCAGGAUGAUGUAUGAUAGCUGUAGAGGUGUCAGGAUGAUGUAUGGUAGCUGUAGAGGUGUCAGGGUGAUGUAUGGUAGCUGUAGAGGUGUCAGGAUGAUGUAUGGUAGCUGUAGAGGUGUCAGGGUGAUGUAUGGUAGCUGUAGAGAUGUCAGGGUGAUCUAUGAUAGCUGUAGAGGUGUCAGGAUGAUGUAUGAUAGCUGUAGAGGUGUCAGGAUGAUGUAUGAUAGCUGUAGAGGUGUCGGGGUGAUGUAUGAUAGCUGUAGGGGUGUCAGGGUGAUCUAUGGUAGCUGUAGAGGUGUCAGGAUGAUGUAUGAUAGCUGUAGAGGUGUCAGGAUGAUGUAUGAUAGCUGUAGAGGUGUCGGGGUGAUGUAUGAUAGCUGUAGGGGUGUCAGGGUGAUGUAUGGUAGCUGUAGAGGUGUCAGGAUGAUAGCUGUAGGGGUGUCAGGAUGAUGUAUGAUAACUGUAGGGGUGUCAGGAUGAUAGCUGUAGAAGUGUCAGGAUGAUGUAUGAUAGCUGUAGGGGUGUCAGGAUGAUGUAUGAUAGCUGUAGAGGUGUCAGGAUGAUAGCUGUAGAAGUGUCAGGAUGAUGUAUGAUAGCUGUAGAGGUGUCAAGGUGAUCUAUGAUAGCUGUAUAGGUCCCAGGGUGAUCUAUGAUAGCUGUAGAGGUGUCAGGAUAAUGUAUGAUAGCUGUAGAGGUGUCAGGAUGAUGUAUGAUAGCUGUAAAAGUGUCAGGAUGAUGUAUGAUAGCUGUAGAGGUGUCAAGGUGAUCUAUGAUAGCUGUAUAGGUCCCAGGGUGAUCUAUGAUAGCUGUAGAGGUGUCAGAGUGAUCUAUGGUAGCUGUAGAGGUGUCAGGGUGAUCUAUGAUAGCUGUAGAGGUGUCAGUGUGAUGUAUGAUAGCUGUAGAGGUUCCAGGGUGAUGUAUGAUAGCUGUAGAGGUGAUGUAUGAUAGCUGUAGAUGGCUGUAGAGGUGUCAGGAUGAUAGCUGUAGGGGUGUCAGGAUGAUUUAUGAUAGCUGUAGAGGUGUCAGGAUGAUAGCUGUAGAAGUGUCAGGAUGAUGUAUGAUAGCUGUAGGGGUGUCAGGAUGAUAGCUGUAGAAGUGUCAGGAUGAUGUAUGGUAGCUAUAGAGGAGCCCGAAUGAUGUAUGGUAGCUGUAGAGGUGUCAGGUCAUCUAUGGUAGCUGUAGAGGUGUCAGGGUGAUGUAUGACAGCUCUAAUCACUGCAUCUGACAACCUUCAACUAGAGGAGGAUACUCUGCCACCAGUCGACCCAGCACACCAGUCCAUUCAGCAGUCCGCCCAGGUCAGCAAUGCCCAUUUGUCCCUCCCGGAUAAAUAUGACGGGGUAGAGGAUUGGUACCAGCACGCAACCCCAUCUAAGUGGCUUCCUACUCAAGUGCUCCCUCUAUUUUGCACAACAGAUGGGAGGCCUCACCACCGAGAGGUCCCAGGUUGCCAUGGUUAUUUCUCUGCUGACUAGGAGGGGGUUGGAGAGGGCUUCAGCCGUCUGGGAGAGAGGAGAGGAGGAGCUGGCUUCGUAUGAGGGGUUCAUGGCUCUGUUCAGAUGUAUCUUCGAUCAUCCGCCGUAGGGCAGAGAGGGGAGUGAGCUUCUAUUCCAACUACGGCAAGAUGAACAACCCGCUGCCGAGUAGGCGCUCACCUUCCAGACAGUAGCAAUAUCCAGUGGAUUGAAUGAGCCGGCACCCCGUACGUUAUUCAGAUGAGGACUGCGCAGGGAGGUCCAGACGCAACUGGCAUGUCGAGACGACAACCUCUCCUUGGAGCCUGAACGAUGCAGACGGAAACAGCUGGGGCUCUGUCCCUAUUGUGGUCAAGGGGGGCACCAGCUUCAGCAGUGUCCGGUACAUCCCAACUCGGUAUCCCUGGUCACAUCUGUCCAUUGAUUUUGUCACUGAUCUCUGAUGCUUUCACCACCAUUUUGGAUUCUCUAAAUCCUGCCGUUUUAUCCCCCUCUGGUCUCCAGGUUGCUAAGGCAGUGUUUCAGCAGGUCUUCUGGCAUUAUGGCCUUCCGGAGGACAUCGUCUCCGACCGUUGCCCCCAAUUCGCAUCACGGACAUGAAGAGCCUUCAUGGAGAAGUUUGAGGUCACGGUCAGCCUCAGUCUAAAGGGCAGGUGGAGAGGAUGAACCAGGAGCUGGGGAAGUUCCUGAGGAGCCACUGCCAGGACCGGCAGGGGGAGUGGGCCCAAUUCCUUCCAGAGGCGGAGUACGCCCAGAAUGUGUUACGUCACUCCUCCACUAGGCUGACUCCAUUCCAUUGUGUUCUGGGUUGUCAGCCGGUCCUGGCUCUGUUGACCCCGGGCCAGACCGAAGCUCCUGCGGUGGUUUAGGCACACAGAAAAAGUGUGGAGCGAUACUCACGUCAGACUAAAGCGCACCGUCCAAUGUCAGGAGUAGAAGGAUUGCCACUGCAGUUAAGCUCCUGUGUUCCAUCAUGUUCUACCAGGAACCUCCCACUCCCUGCAAGAAGCUGAACCCCGGUUUGUGGGGCCGUUCAAGGUUCUCCGAAGGGUCAACGAGGUGACGUAUAUAUUACAGCUACCCAGUGACUACCGUAUCUUACCUUCCUUUCAUGUCUCCCUUCUCAGGCCGGUGGUUCCUGGUCCCCUGGCUAAAGCUGUCCCCUCGUGGGGGGGGGAUUCUGUCACGUCUACUCCCACUCUCCUUCUUCGGCGCUCGACGUUGCCGAUUUACAAAUCACUGCCUCUGACAACCAUCAUUACGUACACCAUCGUUACCCGCACUAGCACCUCAUUAUGAGACUCACCUGGACUCCAUCCCUUCCCUGAUUGUCGCUCCCUUUGGUUCAUUCCCCAGGCAGUAUUGGUUAUGUGUUUAUGUCCAGACGCUACUCUUGUUUUGUAUCGUUCCAUGUUCAUCGUGUUAUUAAACUCACCACCUGCACCUGCUUCUCGACUCCCAGUGUCUGCGUUAGUCUUGUCCAGAGUAAAGCUGUUCUCUUCCCUGGGGGCUGUCAGGAUAUAUUAGGAGUUAUUUUCAUG
ensembl:lncRNA